AUUGAUAAUGCAUUCUCUUGUCAUUGUUUAAAAGAAUCUUAAGUAGUGUGAUAUAAAAAAAUGCCAAUAUGCAUUAUUUUAAAAAAUAAUUAGAGGAAGAAAUUAAAAUGAUCACUAUUUUAUUUGCUAAUAUUUUAGAUUAUAAGAGGUGGUUUGAUAAAUAAUAAAGUAAAAACUAUAAUGAGAUAUAUUGAGUAAAAUUAGUGGCAUUUAAUCAAAUACCACUCUUUGCCCUAAAUGCACUUUCUAUAAUAAAAUAAACAUUAGGAUGGAUGUAAAAAAAAAAAAAAAAAAAAAAGACUGACAUACCUUUACAAUGCUAUGGCUUAAACCUUUUCAAAUGUUAAAGAAAUAAUUUUGAUCAAGAAUAAUACCAAAUAUUCAAACUUCCUACAUAUAAUUAGAUAUGAAACUAGCAAAAUAUGUUUCAAAUACAACUACACAUAAAGAUAUGAAGAAGUAAAGUCAUAAUUCUACAGUAAAUUUUAUUAUUUUCUUGAGUCUGUCUUUUGGAAAUAGAUUUAUAGGGUGUUACAGGGAAAUUUUAUUAUGCAACUUCCCAGGGUCACACCAAGAAUUAUUAAGAUAAAUCCUGCCCUCAACUCUCAAUACAAAGAAAUGGAAAAUUUGCCACAUUAUCUAAGUAUUUAUUACAGUUAUUUUGUUUUGUGAAGGCCAUGUUGGAAGAAGGAAAAAGGAAGACAGACACAGGAUUAAGAUAAAUGAGAAAAUUAAACGAAAAUAAGCAAACAACUAAAGGUAAAUGAUGCUAGAUAUGGAAGGCACUGAAGGAGAUCCAACACAAGCGUAAUUGGUACCUCUGGGGAAAAAAAAAUAAGCAAAUGAAAUGGGGAAAAUAUCCGAAGAUAUAAUUUAAGAAAACUUACCAGAAAUAAAGUAAAAUUUGAAUAUGUAGAAUGAAAGGACACAUUUCCUUGGGAAACUGACAGAAUGAUAAAUACCAAGCUGGUGAGAGAACAGAUCUUCAAAGAUGAAAAAACAACUAUUUUGUCUUUCAGGUAAAAACAUCAAGUUACUAAAGAAGGACAAGAUAGGCUGGCUCGAAAGCUAUCUGCAGAAACAGUGGAGUUAUGGCUACAAUGUCUUCUGAGAAACAAAGCAUUACCCUACUAGUAUAUACUCAGUCAGGCUGUCAUUCAAGAAUAAAGACAACAUACAAAGAAUAUUCAAACAUGCAAUGUUCAAGAAAGACAACUAUUAUGAUCCUAUCUUUAAUAAACUACUGAAGACUGAAUUUCAUCUGUGAGAUAAAUGAGGAAAAUAUGGCAAAAGGAUGACAAAAAGAAUUGAAUCCAUUUGAAUGUACAACCAAUAUUAAAAAAUUAUGAGAAUUAUAGUUAAGGAACAGAAUGCAAAUGUUAAAACCAAUACAACUUAAAAAAAUAUGAGCAAAACUUUCUCAACAGGAACUGAGGAAAAGGAAUGAACUUAUGAAACAGAGGUCAGAAUGAAGUGGAAUGACAUAUUCAAAGCACUGAAAGAAGGAAACUAUCAAGCAAGAAUUCCACAUAGAGCAAAACUAUCAUUCAAAAAUAAAUGCAAAAUUAAGCCAUUUUCAGAUAAACAAAGAUAUAUAACCUGAUUUACAUGAAAUUCUAAAGGAAGUCCUACAGGUUGAAAGGAAAUGAUACUGACAGUAACUAAAGACCACAGGAGACAUAAAGAACACCAGAAAAGGUGGACGUCCAGUGAGACCAGCACAUGCUCUGCUUUAUACAGGGAUGACACAUCUAUUUAAAGCUUUGCAAACUGGCUACCCUAGCAUCACUAUCACCACCAUCUCCAUCAUCAACAUGGAGUAGCUCCAGCUGAACUCAACAAACCUGAAUCACGACAGUGAUCGUUUUUCAUAGACAUAAAGGUUCUAGGUAGGGUGCAGGAUUGAGUCUGCAGGCAUUAAGUGAAGGAAAAGCACAGCCACCAAUGGAAGAGUGGAAGUGAAGAUGUAGCAAUUUCAUGUGGCUGUUUUUGUGCUUAUGCUUUUCUAGAUACUGAGACAGAAAUGUCUUAGGAGAGGUGGAGAACAGUCAAGGGAAAGCACCUGUACUGCUCUUUCAAUCUAGUGAAAUAAAAGAGUGAGCUCAGUUAUUUCCAUUGCUAUGCCCAAAGUGAUCGUUUUUAUUAUUUAUUUUAAUAAUCUGGAAUAAUGGGACAUUUGAGCAAUCAACAAAAGUAUAUUAUAUGGAAGGGAAUAAAGAAAGACUCCCAUCAUCUCAGACUAAGAACAACCUAGGGGGUGUAUCAAGACAGUUUAUUUUUUAGUGGUAGAAGCAUACCUAGUAAGCCACUGAAUAUACUGGAACAAUCAAGUGUGCCUUCUCCUUCCAUUAACCUUCUGUUAAACUAGUCAAUAAUAAGACUUUGUUAAGUUUCUACAGAAAUAUACACUUAGCCAUAUUUUUAACCAGUUAUUGCAAAUGAAAAGAACAGUCUAAUAUAUAUGAACUUGAGGGGUCAGUGUCAAUAUACCAGAUGGGAAAGCUGAAAUUCAGAGGAUAAAAUUUUAAGAAUUUUGUUCAGAAGUCAGUGAUGCAGAGGCUAAAAUCAGAGCUUUGAGAACUGCAAAAAAAAAAAAAACCACAAAAAAAACUAGAGGCUGAGAGUAGUUGUCGAUAAAAUGUAACUUCUGCGUAUAGCAAACAACUGGUAACGACCUGAAGUUGUACGAUAUUCCCUUUUGAGACCAGGAAUGAGAGUAGGAUGCAUGCUAUGACCACGGCAAUUCAAUGUUAUACCAGAGAUCUUAAUGAAGGUGAUAAGGUAAGAAAAAUCUAAAAUAAAAAUUAUGAGAAAAGCACUAAUGAUUGAAA